ensembl:snRNA U6 U6 spliceosomal RNA
GUGUUCACUUUAGCAGCAUGUAUACUAAACUUGGAAAAAUACAGCAAAGACUAGGAUGGCCCCCACAUUAAAAUGACACAAAUUUGUGAAGUGUUCCAUAUUUUU